rnacentral:rRNA from 1 species
AUUGAACGCUGGCGGAAUGCUUUACACAUGCAAGUCGAACGGCAGCACGGGGGCAACCCUGGUGGCGAGUGGCGAACGGGUGAGUAAUACAUCGGAACGUGCCCAGUCGUGGGGGAUAACGUAGCGAAAGCUACGCUAAUACCGCAUACGAUCUGAGGAUGAAAGCGGGGGACCGUAAGGCCUCGCGCGAUUGGAGCGGCCGAUGGCAGAUUAGGUAGUUGGUGGGGUAAAGGCUCACCAAGCCUGCGAUCUGUAGCUGGUCUGAGAGGACGACCAGCCACACUGGGACUGAGACACGGCCCAGACUCCUACGGGAGGCAGCAGUGGGGAAUUGUGGACAAUGGGCGCAAGCCUGAUCCAGCCAUUCCGCGUGCAGGAGGAAGGCCUUCGGGUUGUAAACUGCUUUUGUACGGAACGAAAGGGCUCUCUCUAAUACAGGGGGCAUAUGACGGUACCGUAAGAAUAAGCACCGGCUAACUACGUGCCAGCCGCCGCGGUAA